GCUCGGGAUAAGAAAGUCCUUUUUUUCGAAAAAUUCAAAGUUUUGUAAACAGGAAAUUUAUAAAAAUGACAACAUUAUUGAUAUUCAUGUCAAAGACAGGACUUCGUCAGGUCACUUUUGAACAAUAACCUUUUUGUCAUUUCAGUAGAGUAUUCGCCACAAAAGAAAUGAAGGACAAGCUUUUUUUUACACUGAAUUAUUUUUGUAUUGAAUGUAUGUUAUCUUACGAUUAUACUAAAUUUGUUUACAAAGACUGUUAUAAUGUUUUACUUUUAGAGUGGCCCUAUCAUAAUUAUUAAACAGAUAAUGCUUUAACAGAAUCUGAACGAAGAAGAUAUAUAUUUAAUUAAUUUUCAGUUUGAAAUAAACUGAGAAAAGAACAAGGGGAUGAGAAAUCAAAACGAUAUAUGGAAUAAAACAAACACAACACCAUGAAAAACGACGAAAAGCCGAUCGAUUCAUAAUACACUACAGAAAAAUAAAUUUUGAGCAACACGAACAACGUCCAAGGACGGAUAUGAAUGAUAUAAUGGUAUAGAAAUAAAUGAAAAUCCAAAAAUAAAGUUGUCCCAAGCUGCUUUGCAGGUAAUACUUCACA
rnacentral:lncRNA from 1 species